UCAGUCGGCCGGACGGCCGCUCCGGCAGGUGCCGAAAGGCCGUCGGAGAGGAAAGUCCGGGCUCCCUUGACAUACGGUGCCGGAUAACGUCCGGCGGGGGCAACCCUAGGGAAAGUGCCACAGAGAACGAACCGCCCGCCGUCGCUGCGCAAGCAGCGUAGGCGGGUAAGGGUGAAAAGGUGCGGUAAGAGCGCACCGCGGGUCCGGCAACGGAGCCGGCAUGGUAAACCCCACCGGGAGCAAAACCGAAUAGGGACGGCAAAUGCGGGCCGAUCGCGCAAGCGAUAACGCCGCGGGGCGAUGUCAGGCCCGCCGUCCGGGUAGGUUGCUCGAGGCCAUGUGCAAACAUGGUCCCAGAGGAAUGGCCGUCACGUAUCGUUUGCGCAAGCGGACGGUGCCUUACAGAACCCGGCUUACAGGCCGGCUGAUAUU
rnacentral:RNase_P_RNA from 1 species